AGCGCAGGCGGUUGGAAUAGUCUGAUGUGAAAGCCCACGGCUUAACCGUGGAAGGUCAUUGGAAACUGUCCAACUUGAAUGCAGAAGAGGUAAGUGGAAUUCCAAGUGUAGCGGUGAAAUGCGUAGAUAUUUGGAGGAACACCAGUGGCGAAGGCGACUUACUGGUCUGUAAUUGACGCUGAGGCUCGAAAGCGUGGGUAGCAAACAG
rnacentral:rRNA from 1 species